GGCUUGGUGAUCGGGUCUUCCUUUAUUGGUUGCAUUCGAUCUGCCUUGCCUUAUCUUCUAGGCUCACGUCGCAAGACGUGUGAUUCUAGAACUUUUACUGUGAAUAAAUUAGAGUGUUCAAAGCAGGCAAUCGCUUGAAUACAUUAGCAUGGAAUAAUGAAAUAGGGCUUCAGUUCUAUUUUGUUGGUUUUCAGAAUCCGAAGCA
rnacentral:rRNA from 1 species